CUUGCCUGAUUCCAGGCUGAGGUAGUAGUUUGUACAGUUUGAGGGUCUAUGAUACCACCCGGUACAGGAGAUAACUGUACAGGCCACUGCCUUGCCUGGGACAGA
rnacentral:pre_miRNA from 4 species